UAGUAAACUGCAGCAUCUUCAGCCUGGACUCCACUGAUGGUCAGAGUGAAGUCAGAAUUUGAUCCACUGCCUGUAAAACGACCUGGAAUCCCUGAUGCUCGAGUGGAAGCAAGGUGACGUCAGUCCCACUCUGACAGUGCUGCCGCCGUCACGUGAGGAGCUGGACCAGGGGAAGGCCACACUCAUGUGUCUGGCCAACAAGGGCUUCCCCUCAGCCUGGACUCUGUCCUGGAAGUUGGACGGCAGCAGCAGCAGCAGCAGCAGCUGGGAGCAGAGCAUGAGCCGCGGGCUGCUGGAGAAGGACGGUCUCUACAGCUGGAGCAGCAUCCUGAGGCUUUCUGCUGACCAGUGGAGGAAGGUGGGCUCUGUGACCUGUGAGGCCACCCAGGGCUCCCAGAUUCUCUCAGAGACACUGAGGACAGACCAGUGUUCCUAGUCCUGACCUGACUCACUGACACUCUGCUACUGGUUUUACUCUGCAUUUCUGUCUCUUUUCUCACAAUUUAAAGUUUGAAAACUUCUCGCUCAUGUUGAUCCUGACUCUUUCAACUUUUUCCACAUAAUAAAGUUGUUUGUGUUUCAUUAAAAAA